GGGCAAUUGGUCUAGUGGUAUGAUUCUCCCUUAGCAUGGGAGAGGUCCUGGGUUCAAUUCCCAGAUUGUCCA
rfam:Xylona heveae TC161 unplaced genomic scaffold L228scaffold_3, whole genome shotgun sequence.